AAUCUUAUAACCUUCCUUGGUUAAUUGCAAGUGAUUUCAAUGCUAUAGUUGUUGAUAAUGAGCAUCAUGGGGGUCGGUUUGAUCAUUAUGCUUGGAAAUCCCAUUAUUUUAUGAAUUUCAUCUCUAGAAAUCAUUUGUUUAACCUUGUUUUCUCUGACCCCAUCCAUACAUGGUGCAGUGGCCAAACUUGUCUAGGGAGAAGACUGGCCAAGUUAGAUAUGUGGCUUGCAAACAUUGAUUGGAUUUCUAAUUUUACUUAUUACUCUAAUAAACACUUAUCUUGAAUUAUAUCUGAUCAUGCCCCCUUGUUCUUGGUUGCAAAUUUUUACAUUUAUAGAAAAAACAAAGGUGUUUAAAUUCGAUAAUUAUUGAUUGGAGUAUAAUGUUUAUCGUGUCUCUGUUGCUAAGGCUUGGAAUUUAUCUUGUAAUACCUCCCUUUUCAUGCUUUUUCACAUUGUGUCUGUAAGACCAAACAGAACCUCAUAAGUUGGACGACAUCUGGUUUGACUUCUCUAGUGUAUGAUAUUAGGAAUACUGAAGAAGAGAUCAGUGCUUUAGAGAAUAUUGAGUGUUCAGCUGGCCUUAAUCUCUCCCAACUUAAUACCCUUCAUUCCCUUCAGAACAGAUAUGCAACCCACCUUAAACAAAGCUCCAUCAAAUGGGUUGACAGGGCUAAGCUCUUAUGGCUUAACAAUGGGGAUGCCAACUCAAUCUUUUUUCACAAAGCUGCUCAUAUUCAUAAUCAUCACAAUAUAAUUUUCUCUUUGAAUGACUUUUGGGUUUUCUUUGCUCUCAGCAACAGGAUAUUGAAAAUUGUUUCAUUAAUUUUAACUCCAACGUUUGGAACUCUAAAAGUGCUUUUUCUGGAAGUGAUAUUCUUAGAGCCCUUCCUAUUGAUCAUAACAUGCUUUCUAUUGAGGAUCACCAGGCCCUUACUAAACCUGUGACCAAGAGGAAAGUUUAUUGCACUAUUAGGGCUAUGGGUGAAGGUAAAAGUCCCAGACUCGAUGGUCUCAAUGUGGAAUUUUAUUUACAUCAUUGGGAUUUAAUUGGGACUCAUCUGUUUAAAGCCAUUGAUUAUUUCCUUUGGCAUGCUUCUCUUCCUAAUUCUUAGGUAAGAUGUACAUAGUGUUGACCCCUAAGAUUAAUAAUCCCAAUAAAAUUAGUGAUUUUAGGUCUAUUUCUUUCGGCAAUGUCUGUUAUAAAGUUAUUUCGAAACUUCUUUCCAAUUGGCUUAAAUUGAUCAUCCACAAACUUAUUGGCAAAGAACAAAGUGGUUUCUUGGCCACUAAGUCUACCGUGGAUAACAUUUUGGUUAUGCAAGAAGUGGCUCACUUCCGUGAAAAUGAUACCGAUAGUCCCUUUAGGAUGAUAUUUAAAGUUGAGAUUGAGAAUGCUUAUGAUACCCUUGAGUGGAACGUUAUUCUUGCCACCCUUAGGUCUAUGAACUUUCCCAAAAUUUGGAUUUUUUGGGUCAAGGCUUGUUUAUCCUUGGCUAGCUUGUCUUUUAUUAUAAACGGUCAACCUAGCAAGUGGAUGAAAGCUAGUAGAAGGGUCAGACAAGGGGAUCCUCUAUCACCCUAUCUCUUUAUUUUGGUUUCGCAAAAUUUAAUAGCUAUCAUGAACCAUGCUCUUCAUUUGAAAAGGAUUUUGGGUUUGAUGAUUGUUUAGAGAUUAAUUUCAAUCAUUUGCUCUUUGCCGAUGACCUUUUAAUUAUCACUAAAGCUAUUAGAUCUGCUGCCAGGUUCUGCAGAUUUUGCCUAGAUAUGUAUCGAGACUUCUUGGGUCAAGCUCCUAAUCUUUCUAAAUCCACCUUCCCUGUCCUUUCUUGGUGUAAUAAAAAAUUCUGUAGUGCUAAUGGUAGAAUUCUAGGUAUGAACCUGGGAAGCUUUCCUUUUGAGUACCUUGGAGCUUACAUUUCUUCCAACAGGUUGACUACUAGACAAUCUCAAUUUCUAGUGGAUAGAGUUAAUAAGGCAACCAAUGCCUGGAAUCAUGAAGCUAUCUCUCAAGCUGGUAGGCUUGUACUGAUUAACUCUUCUCUCUUGAGCAUCCCCAUUUAUCAGCUAUCAUGCUAUUUCAUUCCUAAUGGCUGAUUGAUAAGUAAUUAAUUAUAAUAUAUUUUUAUUAGAUUUAGGUUUCAUUUCUUAGUUGAUCAUGCAUCUUUCUCCAUGUUUCUAGUUCAAUUUCACUCUUUUAGUUCAAGUUACUGUUCUUCUUCAUUAGUUUACAUGUAGAUAAGUGGAAUUUGGCCUUUAUUUGAAAUGCGGGCGAUCUAUGGUAGAUAUUACACCUAUGGAUCGUGGUGUAGAAAUUUAAAAGACUUAAACCCUAGAAAAAGCCCAACCCACUCAUGCCAGCUAACAUAGCCGUGGAUCUUUGCCUCCAUCACAACCCUAAUUUAACCCUCCUCUAUAUAAAGCCAAGAAAAAGAAUUUCAAGGCAUGUUUGGGCUAUGAGAACAAGGAGACGAUUUUUCUAAGGGUUGAAGAUCAUCUAAAGCUAUUAAAGAGGAGAAAGAAGACAAAGAUCAAGGGAGAGAUUCAUCGAUUUACAAGAACAUCACGCGUGAAGGAUUAAGAAUUUCUUCUUUCUUAUUCUUUGAUUUAUUCCAUGUUUAGAUCUAUGAUGGAUAUGAACCUUUUAGCUUAUAAAUUGAACAUGAGUGAGUAGAUCUUUUGUUCUAGGAUUGAGAUUAGCCCAAUGUUUAGAUAAAUGACUAUGUAUUGACUUUUAUUAUUUAUAAAUGUUUAUUUGCUUUUGAUUCAAUUUUAUGGUACUUAAUGCUUGUGAAUGGGUUGGACCCCUUAUAUUUGCAUGAUUUUAGAUGCUAAAGGAAGAACCGAAAGGUGAACUAAGGAGUUGGAACCCUAGAAUUGAACUUGAAGUCCUAGAUUAUGAUUUCUUGAGGAUUAAUGGAUGCCAUAGAACUUAAAGGAUCUAAUUAGAUUCAAUUACCACGAAAGUAGGAAUUGUUCUAAGUUAGAUACCGCGUUAUAUUCUGAAAGGAAAUAGUGAGUAUCCUAGGGUAUACCACUUUCAAAGCAAUUAAACUUAACCAAGAAAGAGUCAAUACAAAGUAUUUUAUCUAUUAUUGUGGUGAACUUCAAUACGAGAAGCCUCUGCAAUUUGAAUUAAUCAUCUCAGCCAUUAGUAGCCUUAAUUUUGUUAGUUUUAGUUUUCAUUGCUUAUUAUUUCUACAAUUCACAUACCUAGCGAUUCGUCUAAAUAACUCUAAUUGCAAGAAAUUGGUAAUUAGCAACAAAGUCCUUGUGGGGACGAUAUUUAUUUACUACUUGAACGACCCGUGCGUUUGUAGUACGCAUCACUAAUACUUUUCGAAAAAUUGCUAGGGUUCAUUUAUGGGCCAAGGGUGGCAAUAGAAGUAACUUCCACUCAUUUUCCUGGAACAAUACUACCCUUUCUAAGUUUGAGGGGGGCUUGGGUGUUAGAGAUUUAAGGAAUGGCAAGGUUGCUCUAAUGACCAAACACUUUUUUGAUCUUUUAAAUUCUGCAGACAAAUUGUGGGUUUCUAUUUUCAUAGCCAAGUAUGGUGAUUUCAGGAUUUGGAAUAUCUCUUGCCUGUAGAAAGCUUCCUGGCUUUACAAAUCUCUUUGCCAAAUUGCUGCCACUCUUAAGCCAAAUUUGUGGAUAAACAUGAGUAAUCCAAGGGACAUCAAUCUUUUGGGAGACCCUUGGUGUCUUGAUCUUCCAAUUUCUUACAAGCCCACCUAUGUCAACAUGUGUCUUCCUAUUGAAUCCCUUUCUUUCCAAGAUUUUAUCAAUGGUCAGGCCUUCAAUAUUGAAGCUAUUUAACAUCUUCUCGGAAGCCAGAUUGAUAUGAGCAGAAAUUCUAAAAUUAAUUGGAAUCACUCUGGUCCCAAACAUUGGGUCUGGUUCCCAGUAGCUGGUAAAAUUGCUCAAGUGGUGUAUAGCCACCUCAAUCAUCAGAAAGUUUCUAAUCAGAAUUGGACAGGGUGGCAAUUGCUAUGGAAGCUUAAAGUUGCACCUAGAGUGAAACUUUUUCUAUGAAAACUAUUCCCUGGAAAAGUACCUUUUUAUGCUUUCUUAUAUGCCUUAGGCAUUGGUCCUGCUUUGGAAUGCCCCUUCUGUAAGUUGAUACCUGAAACCACUGAACACAUCAUCUGGGAGUGUCCUAAGUCCAGGAUCAGCUGGAACAGGUGUUAAUCUGGCUUAUGAACAGAUUUCGUACUGAAAUUGGAGACUCUUCUUUUAAAGCUCUGUUGGCUUCAUGUGCAUGGGCCAUAUGGACAGCUAGGUGCAACUACAUUUUUAGAAGAACCAAACCAGACUCCCUCAAAAUCUUUCAUCAAGGUCUGCAAUAUGCAAUGGAUUACUAUAUGGGCUGUUCCAGUAAUCCCAUGGAGCUUAACAUUCAAGAUCUUUCUUGACGGAGUGUACAAGUUCUUUGUGAUGCAUCCUGGGAUAGCAAAACAGGUAAAUUUUGCAAUAAUAACUUGUAUGAACCAUUCAAUUUUGGCAGGGUUUAUGUCUCUGGAGACCCAGUCAAGUAUUAGUUCUGAGACGGCAGUGCUGAUGUUUGCUUUAGAUCAAUGCUCAGCCAGAAGAUUGAAGGUAGAUACCAUGUAAACAGACUGUGCUAGUCUAGUUGAACUUCUGUAUCAGAGAGAUGAUAGAGGAUUAAUUGGUGGUUGGAGGAGACUCUUAACGAUAUCAAGAUAAGUUGCUUCGAUUCCCACUAGUUUCAGUUGAGGUGAUCCCAAGAGAUGGCAAUGGUUUUGCUGAUUUUCUCGCCAAUUGACAUCCCGGCGUUUCCCUCUUCCGUGAAGGCCUUGAUCUUCCCAGGAAAACUGAGCCUGUGUUGCAGUUAAUACCUUCAAAUAUGGGCCACAUGCAUGAUAUUAAGCGGGAGGACCACACAAACACAACGGUCCUGACUGAAAACCAUGUGUGACCAGCAUUUCAGCCAAGCCAAUAAUCCUGGAGAGAAGGGUAAUUCAUUAUUAUUAUU